rnacentral:rRNA from 2 species
CCAACAGGGAUUGCCCCAGUAACGGCGAGUGAAGCGGCAACAGCUCAAAUUUGGAAUCCGGCCCCGACGGGGCCCGAGUUGUAAUUUGCAGAGGGUGUUUCGGGCGCGACGCGGGUCUAAGUUCCUUGGAACAGGACGUCAUAGAGGGUGAGAAUCCCGUACGUGACCGGCCGUCAAGCCCGGGCGAAACCCCUUCGACGAGUCGAGUUGUUUGGGAAUGCAGCUCUAAAUGGGUGGUAAAUUUCAUCUAAAGCUAAAUACCGGCCGGAGACCGAUAGCGCACAAGUAGAGUGAUCGAAAGAUGAAAAGCACUUUGAAAAGAGAGUCAAACAGUACGUGAAAUUGUCGAAAGGGAAGCGCUUGCGGCCAGACCUGCCCCCGGGCGAUCACCCGCCACUCGCUGGCGGCGCACUCGCCCGGGAUCAGGCCAGCAUCGGUUUGGGCGGCGGGACAAAGGGCCCGGGAAUGUAGCUCCCCCCGGGGAGUCUUAUAGCCCGGGCCGCCAUGCCGCCCGCCUGGACCGAGGACCGCGCUCCGGCUAGGAUGCUGGCGUAAUGGCCGUAAGCGACCCGUCUUGAAACACGGACCAAGGAGUCUAACAUCCAUGCGAGUGUUUGGGUGUCAAACCCACGCGCGGAAUGAAAGUGAACGGAGGUGGGACCCCGCGAGGGCGCACCAUCGACCGAUCCAGAAGUCUUCGGAUGGAUUUGAGUACGAGCAUGGCUGUUGGGACCCGAAAGAUGGUGAACUAUGCGUGGAUAGGGUGAAGCCAGAGGAAACUCUGGUGGAGGCUCGCAGCGGUUCUGACGUGCAAAUCGAUCGUCAAAUCUGCGCAUAGGGGCGAAAGACUAAUCGAACCAUCUAGUAGCUGGUUACCGUCGAAGUUUCCCUCAGGAUAGCAGUAACGUUUUCAGUUUUAUGAGGUAAAGCGAAUGAUUAGAGGCCUUGGGGGUGAAACACCCUUAACCUAUUCUCAAACUUUAAAUAUGUAAGAAGUCCUUGUUGCUUCGGUGAACGUGGACAUUCGAAUGCACCGUUACUAGUGGGCCAUUUUUGGUAAGCAGAACUGGCGAUGCGGGAUGAACCGAACGCGAGGUUAAGGUGCCGGAAUGCACGCUCAUCAGACACCACAAAAGGUGUUGAUUCAUCCAGACAGCCGGACGGUGGCCAUGGAAGUCGGAACCCGCUAAGGAGUGUGUAACAACUCACCGGCCGAAUGAAUCAGCCCUGAAAAUGGAUGGCGCUCAAGCGUGCUACCCAUACCUCGCCGCCAGGGUAGAAACGAUGCCCUGGCGAGUAGGCGGCCGUGGGGG